rnacentral:sRNA from 1 species
CGAACCGGAAGAAGAAGAAAAAA